GACGAACGCUGGCGGCGUGCUUAACACAUGCAAGUCGAACGGAAAGGCCCUGCUUUUGUGGGGUGCUCGAGUGGCGAACGGGUGAGUAACACGUGAGUAACCUGCCCUUGACUUUGGGAUAACUUCAGGAAACUGGGGCUAAUACCGGAUAGGAGCUCCUGCUGCAUGGUGGGGGUUGGAAAGUUUCGGCGGUUGGGGAUGGACUCGCGGCUUAUCAGCUUGUUGGUGGGGUAGUGGCUUACCAAGGCUUUGACGGGUAGCCGGCCUGAGAGGGUGACCGGCCACAUUGGGACUGAGAUACGGCCCAGACUCCUACGGGAGGCAGCAGUGGGGAAUAUUGCACAAUGGGCGGAAGCCUGAUGCAGCAACGCCGCGUGCGGGAUGACGGCCUUCGGGUUGUAAACCGCUUUCGCCUGUGACGAAGCGUGGGUGACGGUAAUGGGUAAAGAGGCACCGGCUAACUACGUG
rnacentral:rRNA from 1 species